GCUCAGUUGGUUGAGCAUCCAACUCUUGAUUUCAGCUCAGGUCACAAUCCCAGGGUCGUGGGAUCGAGCCCCACAUUGGGCC
rnacentral:tRNA from 1 species